rnacentral:rRNA from 1 species
AGAGUUUGAUCCUGGCUCAGGAUGAACGCUGGCGGCGUGCUUAACACAUGCAAGUCGGACGGGCUCCUUCGGGAGCCAGUGGCGACCGGGUGAGUAACACGUAGACGACCGACCCUUGAGUGGGGGACAACUGCCCGAAAGGGUAGCUAAUACCGCAUACGCUGCCUGGGUCAGACCAGGCAGGAAAGUCGUGAGACGCUUGAGGGAGGGUCUGCGGCCCAUCAGGUCGUUGGCGGGGUAAUAGCCCACCAAGCCAUUGACGGGUCGGGGGUGUGAGAGCAUGACCCCCCACACUGGCACUGAGAACGGGCCAGACUCCUACGGGAGGCAGCAGUGAGGGAUAUUGGGCAAUGGGCGCAAGCCUGACCCAGCAACGCCGCGUGGAGGACGACGCGCUUCGGCGUGUAAACUCCUUUUAGCGGGGACGAGAGAGGACGGUACCCGCAGAAUCAGUCUCGGCUAACUACGUGCCAGCAGCCGCGGUAAAACGUAGGAGGCAAGCGUUAUCCGGAUUUACUGGGCGUAAAGGGCCCGCAGGUGGCUUGAUGCGUCAGGUUUGAAAGCGUCUGGCUUAACUGGACGAGUGGACCUGAAACGGUCGGGCUUGAGGUGGGGAGAGGGAUGCGGAAUUCCUGGUGUAGUGGUGGAAUGCGUAGAGAUCAGGAGGAACCCCGUGGCGAAAGCGGCAUCCUGGCCCGGACCUGACACCGAGGGGCGAAGGCGUGGGGAGCAAACAGGAUUAGAUACCCUAGUAGUCC